AUGGUGCAUUUUACGGAAUAAAGACAAGUCAUGUAAUGGUAAUUGCAGUGUAUACACACUUUUACAAACUACAAAUUACAUAAUUGUAUUCCCUUCACAGGGAGUGUUCCAAAGACUUCUGAAAUGGGAACCAUGCCCAGAAUGCGGGAAGGAUUUCGCUCCAACCUGGCAGACAGUUUAAGUGACCUCAAAGCUCCCCAGCACUCGCCAUGAAGGGAGGCACCAUGACGCUGGCCUGAUUAUCAUCGACAUUCAAAUCUAUUUCCAGAAUUCAUGCUGCCCUUUCACUAAUGUUACCUUUUUCAUGAGUACACAACCACCAUCAAAUUCUAAGUAUUCAUUAUGACUGGAAAAAUUGCACUUUUCAUACAUGAAAAAGGGAUCUUCAACAUAGUCCGCCAUUUUGAAUUUCCAAAAAUAGCCACUUUCAGCUGCAAAAAUGACUGCACUCGGACCAUACUAGAAAAUAUUUGUUUAUUACUUAGUACACUUUCAUGUAAAGACCAAAUUUGGCAAUAUGCAGCCCAGUUUCAAUGAGCAGCAUAGUUGCAGUACCUUUUUUGACCAUUUCCUGCACAGUGUCCCUUUAACAUUUACCAAGUACUUUACUCCAGACCUGAUUCACAAGGAGGGCUCAGUCUGGCUACCGUGAGGCACAUUUUAGUUGUUUUUGUGUUGAUUUCUUUUGUUUUUAUUACUAUCAUUAUAGUGUUAUUAUUAUUAUUAUUCAAAGCUUAUUUGUUUUUUUGUGUGUGAUUUUUUUAAACAAUGCACCUGCCCCCCAAAAUCUGUGCACGCGCAUGUGUGUGUGUGUGUGUGUGUGUGUGUGUGUGUGUGUGUGUGUGUGUGUGUGUGUGUGUGUGUGUGUGUGUGUGUGUAAGGCACAUUUUAGUUGUUUUUGUGUUGAUUUCUUUUGUUUUUAUUACUAUCAUUAUAGUGUUAUUAUUAUUAUUAUUCAAAGCUUAUUUGUUUUUUUGUGUGUGUUUUUUUUAAACAAUGCACCUGCCCCCCAAAAUCUGUGCACGCGCAUGUGUGUGUGUGUGUGUGUGUGUGUGUGUGUGUGUGUGUGUGUCAAGUCAAGUCAAGUCAAGUCAAGUCAAGUUUAUUGUCAAUUUCUUUACAUGCACUGGUCAUACAAAGAAUUUGAAAUUGCGUUUCUUGCUCUCCCAUGCAGACAUAGACUAAUCUAGGUAAGGACAUAGACAGUAUAGACAUAGACAGUACUCAUACAUGGACA